rnacentral:tRNA from 1 species
CGGGGCGUAGCGCAGUCUGGUAGCGUACUUGAAUGGGGUUCAAGUGGCCGCUGGUUCAAAUCCAGUCGCCCCGACCA